UACGAAGGGGGGCUAGCGUUGUUCGGAAUUACUGGGCUUAAAGGGUUUGUAGGCGGCCUUGUAAGUCAGGUGUGAAAUCCCUCGGCUCAACCGAGGAAUGGCGCUUGAUACUGCAAGGCUUGAGGGAGACAGGGGUAAGCGGAACUGAUGGUGGAGCGGUGAAAUGCGUUGAUAUCAUCAGGAACACCGGUGGCGAAGGCGGCUCUCUGGGCCGGUACUGACGCUGAGACGCGAAAGCGUGGGGGAGCAAACAGG
rnacentral:rRNA from 1 species